UCUGUGUAGCCAUGAGCAAAGGGCCGACAUCCUGUGGCCAGCCCCCGGGGCGAGGAUGCGAGAGGCCAGCUGCAGAGCUGGCCAAUCUCAACACCGUCCCCUGCUGAUUCUAGCCUUGCUGGGUGAGCUGGGCUUGUUUUAUUUUCUUUGUGCUUUAUUCCAAAGCACACAAACAGGCCUGUGGAAAAAAGCCCAAUUCGUUUUGCUUGGAAAAACUGGGAAUGCCAAGGGAAUGAGGGCCACGAUUCAGAAGACAGGAAGGCUCAGCGACACUCAGAGAUGAGCACCGGGUGCGUUGAUUCCCUGCAGCUCCGAGGGAGGGGCGGGGGCUGUCUCCAUCACGCCAUGCCAAGGGUUCUGCUCACGCCGUUGACCUCUACUGGGGCCACUCCCACCACCUGCCUGGACUCUCCUGCGCUCACCUUGGCGUCAUUCUACACUUGAUCCUAGCCGAAAGGCCGAGAAGCGAUCCCAGCUCUCUGCUGUGGCCUGGGAAAGCAGUGGAAGAUGGCCCACGUGCUUGGGCCCCUGCACCCACGUGGGAGACCUAGAAGAAUCUCCUGGCUCCUGGCUUCAGAUCAGUGCAGCUCCAGCCAUUGCAGCCAACUGGGGAGUGAACCAGCAGAUGGAAGACCUCCCUCUCUCUCUCUCUCUCUCUGCCUCUCCUUCUCUCUCUAUGUAACUCUGUCAA